AUUUUUGGACAAUGGGGGAAACCCUGAUCCAGCAAUGCCGCGUGCAGGAUGAAGGCCCUCGGGUUGUAAUCUGCUUUUGUACGGAACGAAAAGUCUUGGGCUAAUACCCUGGGAUCAUGACGGUACCGCAAGAAGAAGCACCGGCUAACUACGUUCCAGCAGCCGCGGUAAUAAGUAGGGUGCAAGCGUUAAUCGGAAUGACUGGGCGUAAAGCAUGCGCAGGCGGGUUUGUAAGAAAGUGGUGAAAUCCCCGGGAUCAACCUGGGAACUGCCACUGUGACUGCAAGGCUGGAGUGCGGCAGAGGGGGAUAGAAUUCCGCGUGUAGCAGUGAAAUGCGUAGAUAUGCGGAGGAACACCGAUGGCGAAGGCAAUCCCCUGCGCCUGCACUGACGCUCAUGCACGAAAGCGUGGGGAGCAAACAGG
rnacentral:rRNA from 1 species